rnacentral:rRNA from 2 species
CCGGUAGCUAAAUGCGGAAGAGAUAAGUGCUGAAAGCAUCUAAGCACGAAACUUGCCCCGAGAUGAGUUCUCCCUGAGACUUUAAGUCUCCUGAAGGAACGUUGAAGACGACGACGUUGAUAGGCCGGGUGUGUAAGCGCAGCGAUGCGUUGAGCUAACCGGUACUAAUGAACCGUGAGGCUUAACCUUACAACGCCGAAG